CCUACGGGGGGCAGCAGUGGGGAAUAUUGGACAAUGGGGGCAACCCUGAUCCAGCCAUGCCGCGUGUGUGAAGAAGGCCCUCGGGUUGUAAAGCACUUUCAGUGAGGAAGAACGCCUGGUGGUUAAUACCCAUCAGGAAAGACAUCACUCACAGAAGAAGCACCGGCUAACUCCGUGCCAGCAGCCGCGGUAAUACGGAGGGUGCGAGCGUUAAUCGGAAUUACUGGGCGUAAAGCGCGCGUAGGUGGCUUGAUAAGCCGGUUGUGAAAGCCCCGGGCUCAACCUGGGAACGGCAUCCGGAACUGUCAAGCUAGAGUGCAGGAGAGGAAGGUAGAAUUCCCGGUGUAGCGGUGAAAUGCGUAGAGAUCGGGAGGAAUACCAGUGGCGAAGGCGGCCUUCUGGACUGACACUGACACUGAGGUGCGAAAGCGUGGGUAGCAAACAGGAUUAGAUACCCGAAUAGUC
rnacentral:rRNA from 1 species